UAGCACAGAACUCCUGAUAAAUUGUCUCUCUCUCCUUCCUUUAUUUCUCUUGCUUGUCAUAUUGCAUUGGCCAGACCAUUCAUUAUCAAGUUGCGUGUUAGCUGGAAUGGCACCUAACUUAUCCAGGCAAUAGUUCUCUCACCUGAAAAAAGGAAUUCCUGAGACUCAUCUCAGGGUUGUCAUAAAUAUUAAGUAAUCUAAGAAAUUUAAAAUACUUAGCUUAGUACCUGUCAUGCACUAAGUACCCAACACGCACUAGGUGCUGUCAUCACCCACACAAAGUUCUGGUUAUCUAGGGAGGAGGACUUUCUUGUGACCCAGAGAGGUGCCCAGUUGUUCUCUGGGCUCCUGCUUGGCCCUGCCAGGUGUCUCCUUUUCACUGUACCUAGUAGUUUACUGCAUAUUUUCCCUCACACAGGUACCUAUACAAACUCCGUGAUCUUCACCUGGACUGUGACAAUUACACAGAGGCUGCCUACACGCUCCUUCUCCACACCUGGCUUCUCAAGUGGUCGGAUGAGCAGUGUGCAUCACAGGUCAUGCAGACAGGCCAGCAG
rnacentral:sRNA from 1 species